CUCUGUGCCUGCUGGGCUCGAACGCGGUCCUCUGCGGCCCUCCAGGCUCCGGUGCUCAGGCGUCUGGCCGUGCUCGGACGCCUCCUCCCCACUCUCGGUUCACAGCUCUCAGGCUUGCGGCCUACACCUCCGGCUCCCUGGUCUCCAGCUGCACGCAGCGAACCACAGAACUGUGGAGCUCUCACCUUCCGAGACGACGUGAGCCAAGUCCUAUCAGAAAUCUCAUGUCCGUGGUGUAUGGAGAAACACAAGUUCCACAGCUGUAGAGAAUCAGUGGCCAAUGGGAUGGCCUUAGCAGAAGGAGGUUACCUGCUCAUCCAGAAGACACAGGAAACUUCCUGUUGUGAGAUCAGUGAAGGUCAAGGGAGAACCAGUGUGGACCUAUGUAGUCUACUGUCACUGAGACCAUGACAGGGGCACGAAGAGUGAACUUCAACUCCAAAGUGCUUCUCUUUCCUUCUGCUAAAGGGCUAUAUCCUUGUUUUUCAAUUUAUCUCUAAAGGGAUUUAUAUCUAGAAUUCGAUAAACUAACUCUUCAGGUUCUUCUGGAUCUUUGAGUGUUUCAGGGUUUAGAAAUGAGCAAUGAAUAACAGUUUAUUUGGGACAUGAAAGUUCCUCUUGGUAAAUUGUUAUACAUUAUUAGUUUGUUUGGUUUCUUUUCUGAUUAUCUUUUUUCUUUCUUAUUUUAAAAUCGCCAUCUCCAAAAUGCAAAACCUGAUCAAAUGAUUUCUAUCAUCAUCUUAUUAUCAUUACUAUUCUCUAACAUCACUCAAGAGUUCUGACAACAUGCUGUCGUGGCCAGGUAACUAUUUCUACAUAAAAUGUGAGUGACCUGAAAUGAGGAGACCAAAGGAGGAAUUUCAUCUAUCACCGAAUCUUUUCACUUCGUGUAUAUUCAGGUAACACAAAGCAGAAGCAGAGACAAAAAUAAAUUCGAAAUUUGAUUAAUUUCUAAAGCUCUCUACUGUC
rnacentral:lncRNA from 1 species